UCCGGCGUGAUGUAAUAGGUAGCAUGGCUGACUGUUACUCAGUCUGUCCUGGUUCGAGUCCAGGCGCCGGAG
rnacentral:tRNA from 1 species